AUGAAAUCUGAGUUUCACUUAAUCCUCAGAACCACGAUUGAGGCGCUUGUUCCUACUCCCAUUUUAAGACGCGGGCUGCAGAGAGGGCAAGCACCCUCUCCACACAGAGCGAACACGACGGGUAGGGCUCAAGUCCAGGAGGUUCCCAAGCCCCCGUGCCGUUGGUGCCACGCGGUGCUCCCACCCAGCCCACUCCGCGGGAGAAAAACUACAGGCCUCGGAGGAGGAGCCGCUCCUCGCAGUUGGGUGGGGCAGAGGCCGGCGCGAGGCCUUGCUCGCUGGAGGAUUUCCGCAGGCCUGAAACAGGCAGGACCGGAGCCCAGCAGGCGGGCCCGGGCCUGCGCAUUCAGAACCCCCGACGAGCGACCGCUAAGCGGGUGGGCGCGCACCGCGGGGCCGGAGGGAAAGGCCCAGACCCUGCGGGGAAGGCCACGCCCCGAGUGGGAGCGCUUCCUUCCAGAUCCCGGCCUCUCGCUGCAAUUCGUUUUAAGGGCAGCCCUGCCCGGUUCACACCUAGCCUUGAAGAUGACGGAUUGCACGGAUGUUAAGGAUGGCAAGAGAGUUCAACAGUGUGAAAACAGCUCACAGAUCACAGAAAUAAAGCAUUGCAUGGGCCUAAAAGGAUGAGCAGCUGUCUUCGCAAAAGCAGUUUCUGGAGAGAAGUAACAGGCUGGAGUGCAAUGGCGCGAUCUUGGCUCACCACAAUUCCGCCUCCCUGGUUCAAGUGAUUCUCCUGCCUCAACCUCCCGAGUAGCUGGUGUUACAGGCAUGUGUCCCAUGCCCGACCGACACAACCUUUUGAUAAAGAUUGUGUUGUGAUGGAGGAAUAGAUAGAUAUAUAUGAGAUGGGCGCUGCGUCAGCAUACUGAUAAUGCUGAUGAUGGCAAGGAGCCAGGAGAGAGGCAGAGCUUAAAGCUGUGAACACACCAAGGACAAAUAAUAGUGGGAAGGGGCGAAAAUGUCAGAAAGGUUGCAGUCCAGAGGGGAGUGAAAUUUAUGAUGCAUUGAAAGUCUCCCCCACUUCUUUUUACAAAAGAGAGAGAAUAGAAUAUGGAAACGAAUGUCUCAUCACUGCACCCACAGGGUGGUUUUCUGUGUAAUUUGCUCACGAGUUUUGGAGCUGUUGCAGGGGACACUUCACAUAUUCGGCUCUGUAUUUCCACUUUUUGUUUGUUUAGAUGGAGUCUCACUCUGUUGCCCAGGCUGGAGUGCAGUGGGGCGCCCUCUGCUCACUGCAGCCUCUGCCUCCCGUGUUUAAGCAAUUCUCUUGUCUCAACCUUCUGAGUAGCUGUGGUUACAGGCAUGCACCAACACGCCAGGCUAAUUUUUUUGUAUUUUUAGUAGAGACAGGGUUUCUCCGUGUUGGCCAGGCUGAUCUUGAUCUCCCGACCUCAGGUGAUCCACCCACCUUGGCCUCCCAAAGUGCUGAGAUUACAGCCAUGAGCCACUGUGCCUGGCCUGUAUUUCCAUUUCUUAACUCAACUUCUGCACUUAGUAGGCAUUAUGGUUAGUAAGCACAAUUUUAGUAUUUAUUUGUUUAUUUAUUUAGUUUAUUUUUUAUUUUUUGAGACGGAGUUUCGCUCUUGUUACCCAG
rnacentral:lncRNA from 1 species